UACGUAGGGUCCGAGCGUUGUCCGGAAUUACUGGGCGUAAAGAGCUCGUAGGUGGUUUGUCGCGUUGUUCGUGAAAACUCACAGCUCAACUGUGGGCGUGCGGGCGAUACGGGCAGACUAGAGUACUGCAGGGGAGACUGGAAUUCCUGGUGUAGCGGUGGAAUGCGCAGAUAUCAGGAGGAACACCGGUGGCGAAGGCGGGUCUCUGGGCAGUAACUGACGCUGAGGAGCGAAAGCGUGGGGGAGCGAACAGGG
rnacentral:rRNA from 1 species